rnacentral:rRNA from 1 species
AUGCCAAAAUAUCUGGGGGGGCUCGGUUUUCGUGAUACAGAAUUAUUUAAUCUAGCAAUGCUGGCCAAGCAAGCCUGGAGACUGAUUCAAGACCCUAAUUCACUUAGUGCUAAAAUCCUACGUGCCGUCUAUUAUUCCAAUGGUGAUGUGUUAACAGCAGACCUCGGCAGUCACCCGUCACAAGUCCGGAGGGCAGUUCAUACAGGUGUUUCGGUGCUGAAACAGGGGCUCAUUAAGCGCGUUGGCAAUGGCCGUUCCAUCAAGCUUUGGGAGGAUAAUUGGAUCCCUCGCGAUUUCAUGCUGCGGACUCUCCAUCCGAGGUCUAUUAGCCCACCCAUGCUGGUCUCUGAUUUGAUUGACGAACCCUUGAAAGCUUGGAACCGCCAACGGGUCUUGGAACACCUCCAAGCUCCUGAUGCUCAAGUAGUGCUGAACAUCCCUCUAAGUUCUCGCAAUUUGGACGAUAGCUGGGCAUGGCAUUACGAAAAAAGUGGCAAUUUUACUGUCAGAUCUGCCUACAGGCUGCUGAUUGACACAAAAAAAAGGCGUGAGGCCUGGUUGGAUGGUAGGCCUUCGACGUCCAACACAAGUGCAGUUCAGAAAGAAUGGAAAAAGCUUUGGAAAGUUAGAGUCCCGGGGAAAAUAAAGAAUUUUGCGUGGCGGCUAGCACGGAACUCAAUUCCUAUAGAGGUUGUUCGACACCACAGGAGUAUGGCCGACUCUGCUGUGUGUCAGGUUUGUAACAAUGCAGAAGAUUCAUGGCACCAUGCGCUAGUUCAUUGCAAUAUGUCUAAGUGUGUGUGGGCACUUCUGGAUGAUGAGCUUGUUGAAGACCUUACUGCUAGCAGGCAUACUGAUGCAAGGUUGUGGCUGAUGGAGCUGAUGGAGUCGACCAGAGAUGAGGAGUUCAUCAUUAUUUUGGUCUCACUCUGGGCUAUUUGGUGGGCUCGGCGACAAGCAAUCCAUGAAGGGAUUUUCCACUCUCCACUCACCACUUAUAACUUCAUUCAGAGGUUCCUGGGUGACCUGUCUUUGGUUCACGGCAAGGUGCCCAGUUCUACGACAGUUGCCCCAGCAGCAAUUCAGGGACAAGGGAGUUAUUGGAAGGCCCCAGCUGUCAGAUGCAUGAAAUUAAACGUCGAUGCUGCAGUCUCGAGAAGCCAAGACAGGGGAUCCUUUGCUGUAGUUUGUAGGGACGAGAAGGGAUCCUAUCUUGGAGCUUCGGUUGUGGUUAUCCAGGAUGUUGUCCAGCCGGAAAUCCUAGAGGCUAUGGCUUUCAGGGAAGCGCUUGAUCUGGCAUCUGAUCUAUACUUGACAAACAUUCAGAUUGGCACUGAUUUUGUGCGGCAACUGUAA